AUGGUCACAUCAUGUUGAAGCACUGGUUCCCAUUUGAUCGCCGAAGUUAAGGAACAUCGAGCCUAGUCAAUACCUAGAUGGGUGACUGCUUGGAAAUACCAGGUGUUGCAA